rnacentral:tRNA from 1 species
GACAGCGUGUCGGAGUGGUUAAGGAGGUGGUCUCGAAUACCUCUGGGCUCUGCCUGCGCAGGUUCGAAUCCUGCCGCUAUCG